rfam:Gossypium raimondii Chr10_contig_236, whole genome shotgun sequence.
CUCGUCAGCGCGCUUUGCUGAUGUGGCAGCAAAUCGCGUCCUAGAGGGCGUGAUUUGUUGCCACGUCAGCAAAGCGCUUGACGUGG